AAUGAAUCAAAACUUUCAACAACGGAUCUCUUGGUUCUGGCAUCGAUGAAGAACGCAGCGAAAUACGAUAAGUAA
rnacentral:rRNA from 1 species